rnacentral:rRNA from 1 species
GACGAACCGUGCGAACGUUAUUCGGAAUCACUGGGCUUAAAGGGCGCGUAGGCGGGCGGCCGAGUCCGGGGUGAAAGCCCCCAGCUCAACUGGGGAAGUGCCUCGGAUACCGGCCGUCUCGAGGGGGAUAGGGGCAUGCGGAACUUCCGGUGGAGCGGUGAAAUGCGUAGAUAUCGGAAGGAACACCGGUGGCGAAAGCGGCGCGCUGGAUCCCUUCUGACGCUGAGGCGCGAAAGCCAGGGGAGCGAACGGG